rnacentral:rRNA from 1 species
GACGAACCGUGCAAACGUUGUUCGGAAUCACUGGGCUUAAAGGGCGCGUAGGCGGCUUGCCAAGUCAGGGGUGAAAUCUUUCGGCUCAACCGGAAAAGUGCCCUUGAUACUGGCGAGCUCGAGGGAGGUAGGGGUGUGUGGAACUGAUGGUGGAGCGGUGAAAUGCGUUGAUAUCAUCAGGAACGCCGGUGGCGAAAGCGACGCACUGGACCUCUUCUGACGCUGAGGCGCGAAAGCUAGGGGAGCAAACGGG